CAGGUCACUCCUACGGGAGGCAGCAGUGGGGAAUAUUGGACAAUGGGCGCAAGCCUGAUCCAGCCAUGCCGCGUGGGUGAUGAAGGCCCUAGGGUUGUAAAGCCCUUUCAGCGGGGAAGAUAAUGACGGUACCCGAAGAAGAAGCUGCGGCUAACUACGUGCCAGCAGCCGCGGUAAUACGUAGGCAGCAAGCGUUGUUCGGAAUUACUGGGCGUAAAGAGUGUGUAGGCGGUGCUCUAAGUCUGUCGUGAAAUCUCCCGGCUUAACUGGGAGGGUGCGGCGGAAACUGGAGUGCUCGAGGAUGGGAGAGGUAAGCGGAAUUCCUGGUGUAGCGGUGAAAUGCGUAGAUAUCAGGAGGAACACCUGUGGUGUAGACAGCUUACUGGACCAUUUCUGACGCUGAGACACGAAAGCGUGGGUAGCAAACAGGAUUAGAUACCCUGGUAGUCCACGCCCUAAACGAUGCAUACUUGGUGUGAGCGAUUCAUUUCGUUCGUGCCGGAGCUAACGCGUUAAGUAUGCCGCCUGGGGAGUACGGUCGCAAGGCUGAAACUUAAAGGAAUUGACG
rnacentral:rRNA from 1 species